rnacentral:lncRNA from 1 species
CUUGUUCCAGCAUUUCACUGCCAAGUGCCAGAAGAAUGAGACUAACACCACAUCUACAGACACUGACCCUAGAUCACACCUCCAGGAGACAGGAGACAACAUCUUAACACUUUUCACCAUGCAUCCUCCUCUUGAAUCAGAGUGGACUAUUUGUAACUUUCGCCAGCACCUGGGCAUGAGGGAUUUUGGUAAAGCACAGGAAUGAGAGAAGAUAAAACAAAACGAAGGAGCUUCACAGAACUGGAGCAUAUGUCAACAUUUUCAAAUAUUUAGAUCUCAUUAAAUAGGCAAAAC